CCGAAACACGAAGGAUGGGCGAAGGUGGAGCACGUACAAAGCCUUCAUUCAACCUGCGCUGAAUCGGAGUAACUUUCAUGUAAUUCGUUACGCGCAUGUCACUAAGGUAAACUUUGAUUCGUCCAAGCGUGCCGUGGGGGUCACGUACACCAAGAAUGGGCGCACAUUCACUGCCACAGGAAGUUAUCCUAUCGGCAGGUGCGAUAGGAAGUCCGCAUCUUCUCAUGUUAUCCGGAAUCGGGCAUUCUGACCAUUUGGCGUCGUUUGGGAUCCCAACCAUAUCAAACCUCGCUGUUGGGGAUAACCUCCAAGAUCACGUCUUAUCCAUAGCUGGGCCCAUCCUAGUCAACGCUUCUGUGUCCUACAUUUCUGACAGAGAUUUGACUAUGGGAUCAAUAAAGCAGUACCUUCGCA